GACGAACGCUGGCGGCGUGCUUAACACAUGCAAAUCGAACGGAAAGGCCCUGCUUGCAGGGUACUCGAGUGGCGAACGGGUGAGUAACACGUGGGUGAUCUGCCCUGCACUUCGGGAUAAGCCUGGGAAACUGGGUCUAAUACCGGAUAGGAGCCAUUUUUAGUGUGAUGGUUGGAAAGUUUUUUCGGUGUAGGAUGAGCUCGCGGCCUAUCAGCUUGUUGGUGGGGUAAUGGCCUACCAAGGCGGCGACGGGUAGCCGGCCUGAGAGGGUGGACGGCCACAUUGGGACUGAGAUACGGCCCAGACUCCUACGGGAGGCAGCAGUGGGGAAUAUUGCACAAUGGGCGCAAGCCUGAUGCAGCGACGCCGCGUGGGGGAUGACGGCCUUCGGGUUGUAAACUCCUUUCGCUAGGGACGAAGCUUUUUGUGACGGUACCUAGAUAAGAAGCACCGGCUAACUACGUG
rnacentral:rRNA from 1 species